rnacentral:rRNA from 1 species
CAUUAUAGAAAAGCAAACGCGGGUCACACCGCGAACUUUUAAACCUUUGAGAAUCGACCUGCGUUGCCUCGGCGGGUCCGCCCGCCGGAGGACAAACUCAAAACUCCUGUUUUAACGGUGUUGUCUGAGCUACAAGCAACGAAUCAAAACUUUCAACAACGGAUCUCUUGGUUCUGGCAUCGAUGAAGAACGCAGCGAAAUGCGAUAAGUAGUGUGAAUUGCAGAAUUCAGUGAAUCAUCGAAUCUUUGAACGCACAUUGCGCCCCUUGGUAUCCCGAGGGGCAUGCCUGUUCGAGCGUCAUUUCACCACUCAAGCACGGCUUGGUGUUGGGCGACGUCCCCUCCUCGGGGACGCGCCUCGAAACGCUCGGCGGCGUGGCACCGGCUUUAAGCGUAGCAGAAUCUUUCGCUUUGGAAGUCGGGGCCCCGUCUGCCGGAAGACCUACCUUCAAGGUUGACCUCGGAUCAGGCAGGAUACCCGCUGAACUUAA